rfam:Symbiobacterium thermophilum isolate G2 contig01675, whole genome shotgun sequence.
CAGACCGUAGCUCAGUUGGCUAGAGCGCCAGAUUGUGGCUCUGGAGGUCGCCGGUUCGACCCCGGUCGGUCUGC